UACGGAGGAUCCGAGCGUUAUCCGGAUUUAUUGGGUUUAAAGGGUGCGUAGGCGGUUUGAUAAGUUAGAGGUGAAAUGUCGGGGCUCAACCCCGAAACUGCCUCUAAUACUGUUGGACUAGAGAAUAGUUGCGGUAGGCGGAAUGUAUGGUGUAGCGGUGAAAUGCUUAGAGAUCAUACAGAACACCGAUUGCGAAGGCAGCUUACCAAACUAUAUCUGACGUUGAGGCACGGAAGCGUGGGUAGCAAACAGG
rnacentral:rRNA from 1 species